rnacentral:rRNA from 1 species
AGUGAACGCUGGCGGUAGGCCUAACACAUGCAAGUCGAACGGCAGCACAGUAAGAGCUUGCUCUUACGGGUGGCGAGUGGCGGACGGGUGAGGAAUACAUCGGAAUCUACUUUUUCGUGGGGGAUAACGUAGGGAAACUUACGCUAAUACCGCAUACGACCUACGGGUGAAAGCAGGGGAUCUUCGGACCUUGCGCGUUGGAAUGAGCGGAUGUCGGAUUAGCUAGUUGGCGGGUUAAAGGCCCACCAAGGCGACGAUCCGUAGCUGGUCUGAGAGGAUGAUCAGCCACACUGGAACUGAGACACGGUCCAGACUCCUACGGGAGGCAGCAGUGGGGAAUAUUGGACAAUGGGCGCAAGCCUGAUCCAGCCAUACCGCGUGGGUGAAGAAGGCCUUCGGGUUGUAAAGCCCUUUUGUUGGGAAAGAAAAGCAGCAGGUUAAUACCCCGCUGUUCCGACGGUACCCAAAGAAUAAGCACCGGCUAACUUCGUG